UAAGGGUGGGCUCCGCAAUCCAUUCACCCUGACUGAGUACCUAUCCACGUUGCUUCCCCGGGGCAGCAGCUUGCCUGCCCUGGCCAUCCAUGUCGCCUUCUGGCAUGUGUAACUGGGAGUUUCCCGGGGAAGGUCCUUUGCAGAAUAAUAGUUGUUUCUACCAUUGUCUGAUGGGCCUUUGGCCUAUGAAAAAGAAAAAUAUGAACAAAACUUUCAACAACGGAUCUCUUGGUUCUCGCAUCGAURAAGAACGCAGCGAAUUGCGAUAAGUAAUGUGAAAUGCARAAUUCAGUGAAUCAUCGAAUCUUUGAACGCACAUUGCGCCCUCUGGCAUUCCGGAGGGCAUGCCUGUUUGAGCGUCUCAUGCAUCAAAAGUCACACACAUUGUUGUGGUCAUGGCAUACGUGGGGCCCSCCUUGUGCAACACCCACUGAGCUGAAAGUCAUAGGCGGAUGUCACCUGAGGUCAGCACGUAGUAUGUAAAGCAAGUCGUACUGAUCGCAGAGUGUGCCUCCUGCCCAGGCCGCCUGGCCGCUUGAAAUCUCAAUGCAUCCUCAGAUCAGGUAGGGAU
rnacentral:rRNA from 1 species